GCUGGGCUUAGUGGUGCCCACCAGUAGUCUCAGCUACUUAGGAGGUUGAGGUAGGAGGAUCCCUUGAGCCCAGGAGUUCUGGGCUGUAGUGUGCUAUGCUGAUUGAGUGUCUGCAGUGCUACCCACAGUGCCGAUCCAGUGUCCACACUAAGUGGACACUGGAUCAAUAUGCUGACCACACCACAAUAUGGUGACCUAUCAGGAGCGGAGGAUCACUAGGUUGUCUAAGGAGGGUGAACUGGUCCAGGUCAGUAACAGAGCAGAUCAAAACUACUGUCCUGAUGGAUAGUGAGAUCUCUGAAUAGCCACUACACUCUAGUCUGGACAAUAUAGCAAGACCCAU
rnacentral:SRP_RNA from 1 species